UAUAAAAAAGACACAACGUUACGUUUCAAAUUGGCAUUAGCGCAAACACUGCUAACCUCUUACAUUUCUUGAGUACAGCCCGGUGGUUCAAGCGUUCGCUCAUCACGCCGAAGACCCGGGUUCGAUUCAUGGGUACAAUGUGUGAGGCUCAUUUCUGGUGUCCUCCGCAGUGAUAAAGCUGGAAUAUUGCUAAAAGUGGUGUAAAACUAAACUCACUCACUCACUUGACUACACUGUGAAAAUACGAGGUACUGUAGCUCACAUAAAUAAUGAAGAAACAGUUACUGGACACUUCAUCCUUAUUAUGAUGGCAAACAUUCACAUUUAUUGGAGUGAUUUUAGCUUUCCGUGCUUUAUUGUACUUUGAAAAAAAUCUUUUUUUUUAAACUAAACCGAAAAAAUAUAUUAAAACAUCACAAUA